AAGAUAUUUUCGUUUCGAGAAGAUCAUCAACAAUGACUAUGCUAAAGUCGAAGUGGAAUUUCUUGCGACGGCUAUAAAUAAAUUAGACUUUUGCGGGGUACGGUAUCUUGGCAUUGGUCAGCAGUGUUUUGGAUAAGCGUGAAGACAGUGUCUUUGCGUCAAUUUGAAUAACCCAGCAAGCCUUGAGAGAAAAGAAACUGAUCUAUUACACAUGUUCGUGUCUGUUUGUCAUCUAUCCCACAUGGCACAGUUAUAAUGUACAAUUGCGCAUGCUCGUUAAUCAUGUUUGUCUACGGCCAAGGUACCAUUUCACAUGCUCUUGCAAGGGAGUUGGCAAUGUUACUGGCUAACUUUUCGAGUGCCAGCAUCCAUCGCGUGAAGUUGGAAAACUGAAGACACUCGGCUACUGCAAAGUCAGUAUAUUCUGAAAGUCACCGAUUGUAUGGCACUGUUAAGACCUAUGCAGGCAAGACACAAGUUGACUGGGAAGGACUAUUCAUCUGUUGUUUGUAACGUUAACUGUUCUUUCCUUUCAGAAACGUAAAUCUCGUGAUAAGUCAAAAGUUUGUUAGUUUUUAGCCAAAAUAGAGGAAAUAAAACGUGCUAGACUAGG